rfam:Virgibacillus massiliensis genome assembly, contig: 000001
CUCUUAUUCAGAGUUGGUGGAGGGACAGACCCGAUGAAACCCAGCAACCAUCACAAUGGUGAAAAGGUGCUAAUCUGAUGCAAGGAACAUCUCCUUGAACAAUAAGAG